UACGUAGGGUGCAAGCGUUGUCCGGGAUUAUUGGGCGUUAAGAGCUCGUAGGCGGUCUGUCGUGUCUGCUGUGAAAACUCGGGGCUUAACUCCGGGCCUGCAGUGGGUACGGGCAGACUAGAGUGCGGUAGGGGAGACUGGAAUUCCUGGUGUAGCGGUGAAAUGCGCAGAUAUCAGGAGGAACACCGGUGGCGAAGGCGGGUCUCUGGGCCGUAACUGACGCUGAGGAGCGAAAGCGUGGGGAGCGAACAGG
rnacentral:rRNA from 1 species